rnacentral:lncRNA from 1 species
GAGCUCUGCUUGUUCCCUCUUCAGACUGGCAGGUGGUUAUAGAGGUGUUUGGGGUGUCAGCUCUGAAAUGCUAAAAAUAAAACCAGGCUUUCUAUCCUGGGAUGUCUCAUUAGUUUGCUUACAAAUGAGUCCCCCUGCAGUUUUUCAGCAAUUGGCUAACAAGCUCUAAUUUGAGCGUUUGGGCUGGACCUUGGCUCAGUGGGAGCAGACGCGGAGCAGACGCCUUCUCGGAGCUGCCUGUUUGGGGAAGCUGGUCGUUUCCACUCUAGCUCAGCCUCCCAGAACAGGGAAGCUGCAGGAAAGUUGACAAAAGCACAGCAAAGCAGGGAGAGCCUCCUCGGUAGAGAGCAACGACCAGGUGGGUGUGGGUGUGGAGAGCAGUGGGGCCCACCUGGGCAGGUGCGGGGGGAUGGGAGGAGGGGCUGAGAGUGCUCUCUAAGUUAAGGUCACGGUGUAGAGGAGAGGACUUGAAAACUUCCUGCAGCAGCUUCGUGGCCCGGUGAAAUGUUCUCAGCAGCAAGCAUGAAGCUCUGAUUUGUAAAAAAAUCAAUACGGCUUGCAUGCCAACUAUGCCUUCUCCAAUCCUGCAUUUGUGAUGUCAGAGGUUGUCAUUCUGGGCUAUGGAGCAAACCUUUCAGGGUUGACCCAGUCCUUCUAGGUCAUGUGGAGUGGGCCAGCUUUAAUGAACCUGUCUAAAAGGAAGGAAGAGAAAGAGCUCAGCUCCUUAGGGGAACAAGGUGGACCUUGGCAGCUGUCUCACUCCUCACCAGCUCUUCACCUCAGAUCUUGUCCUGACUUCCUGGUCCACUAACGGCCUCCUGGAUAGAAGAGUCAGGCAGAGAACAAAGAUUGGUGGCUUCCUCCUGAGCACACUGGGAUGUGGCAUUACAUCGGGGCUGCUGAGUGCCCUUACCUUCAGCUGCCCAGAUGCAGAGGCAGGUAUUUGGCUAGAAGUUAUCACUGAUACGUUUCCAGAACACAUGGAGGCCAAGGCAGACAAAAGUAAAGAUGGAAACCAGACCAGUAAAUAAGUCCUUUGAUGAACUUCUGAGUCUCUACAGAUGAAGGCAAAGCUCCCUCACAGUUGCAGGCAACGUCUCAUCUUUUGUCACUUCUGGCAUGACACUGCACAGCCACAGCCAGUACGGUAUCUCUGCCUUUGCCCAUGUCCUGCCUUCUUUCUCCCUGGUCGGUAUCUCCUCACCUCAACCAGCUUGGCCAGCUCCUUGGUCAUUGGGGUUGCACCCACCCAGGCAUGUGCCUGGCUCCGCACAACCUCAGAAGCUCUCAGUACAGUGCAGGACCAGAGGUUGAAACCAAUGAAAGGUUGUUAAAUAAAGAGAAAAUGUUUAAUGCU